GCUCAUUGGAUCUGCACACACACUCGUACUGUGUUCUGUAUCAUACAGUAGCUCACUAGAUCCUCACUAGUGCCCUACAAGGUAUGCUUUAAAACAUUCUUGUCUUUCUGGUGAUAUGAGAAGGCUCAGGGCUGGAGAUGGGGCUGAGACAAAAAAAUAAUUGCCACAUAAUUAAAGAUAAGGAGCCUCCUAUCAUCCCCAGAACCAUGUAAAUAACUCAGACAAGAAGAUGUGCACUUGCCAUUCCAAUUUUGGGAAGCAGGAUUGGAAGGAUCCCUGGGCUCACUGACGAGGGAGCAUAGCCUACUUGACGGAGGUUGAUGUGCCCUAUCAAGAGGUGAACGAGAACUGGAAUUGCAUCCUCCUGUGAGCACAAAAGCAACUGCAUAGAAGGUUCUGGAGUCAGGAGAUGUGCUCCUCUGCUACAGGCCUUGACCAGAGAGGGCAGGAUGCCCAAGGAAGCUCAUUUUGGGAGCAGUUGUCCCUGUGCAAUCCCCUGUACUUUUAAGUAAACAGGGUAUGUACCCUCCUUACUUCAGGCCCCAGUGCAGGUUUGUCUAACGUAGGGUCAUACUCCAGGCUUCUGACCCCUUCCCACCCACCCUUCCAUCAUUUCCCAUCAUAUACUCCCUUCCUCACAGCCUGCUUCAUCUGCCUUAUCCUCUGACAAUGUUCUUUGGGGCACAAGAGAUUUAGAAUGGGGGGAGAAAAGUCAAGCUUGACUUCUGUCUCUGCACCGGUUAUGAGGAUCUGUCCAAUGUCUGAUCAACAACAAUAAAGCAGAGCAGGUGCCAUGA